rnacentral:rRNA from 1 species
CACGUAGGGGGCAAGCGUUGUCCGGAUUUAUUGGGCGUAAAGAGCUCGUAGGCGGCUUGUCACGUCGGGUGUGAAAGCCCGGGGCUUAACCCCGGGUCUGCAUUCGAUACGGGCUAGCUAGAGUGUGGUAGGGGAGAUCGAAUUCCUGGUGUAGCGGUGAAAUGCGCAGAUAUCAGGAGGAACACCGGUGGCGAAGGCGGAUCUCUGGGCCAUUACUGACGCUGAGGAGCGAAAAGCGUGGGGGAGCGAACAGG